GGCCGUGCUGGCCCAGCGGCACGCACAUGCGAGGCAGCAGCGCAGCAGCUUCUUUUUUUUUUUUUUCCAAUAAUCGCUGGGACCCACGAUCAUCUUCUAGCUUGGGAUAGAGUCCAACCUGCGUACGAGUUUGUUACAGACGCGAGAAGUGCCAACUACUUCGCCCGAUUUCUCUCGGAUUUUUACCCCUUUUUCCACGAAACUUCGUCUAUAAAUACCCCAUAAUCUUCUCCGUUUUUGCUCCCCGAAAUCCCCAAUUGUUGCGCCGCCAGGCUGCGCAAAUUUCUCGCCGGAGUUCGAGCCGCCGCCGCCAUCGCUGAGCUUCGGAGGCCACUAGAACGCCGAGGAAACAUCGCCGGAGCUUUCGCCGGAGUUCCGCCGCAACAGAGCUCGGCCAGCCCACUGCCAUCGUCGACCGAGGAAGGAGGAGACGCUGAAUAGCCAGUCUCUGAGAAUCCCCAUGAAGCCCCGCAACCCCGUCGACCACUACCCCAGGCCGGAGGAGCAUCUGGCCGACGUGAACGACUCUAACCCCCAGGCCGGCACGUUCACUUCAAUCACGCCGACAGUUUCAUUGUGCUGUGCUCAUAGAUAUUCCGAUGAACGAGUGAGGUUCGAUGGUUUGGGUUACGAGUCUAUACUCGACAUGCUCGCCUGUGGCACAUGAAGAUGAAGGGCUCCAUGCUGAUAUGUUUCGUUGUAAACUCUGAUAUUGAGCUAGCCUUGUGCUAUGCAACUUGUAAUUAUUAUGUAAUAUCUGGAUCAUGCGAUAUAGUAAAGACCUUUUGAUAA